rnacentral:rRNA from 1 species
GACGAACGCUGGCGGCGUGCCUAAUACAUGCAAGUCGAACGCUGAAGAGAGGAGCUUGCUCUUCUUGGAUGAGUUGCGCACGGGUGAGUAACGCGUAGGUAACCUGCCUUGUAGCGGGGGAUAACUAUUGGAAACGAUAGCUAAUACCGCAUAACAAUGGAUGACACAUGUCAUUUAUUUGAAAGGGGCAAUUGCUCCACUACAAGAUGGACCUGCGUUGUAUUAGCUAGUAGGUGAGGUAAUGGCUCACCUAGGCGACGAUACAUAGCCGACCUGAGAGGGUGAUCGGCCACACUGGGACUGAGACACGGCCCAGACUCCUACGGGAGGCAGCAGUAGGGAAUCUUCGGCAAUGGGGGCAACCCUGACCGAGCAACGCCGCGUGAGUGAAGAAGGUUUUCGGAUCGUAAAGCUCUGUUGUAAGUCAAGAACGGGUGUGAGAGUGGAAAGUUCACACUGUGACGGUAGCUUACCAGAAAGGGACGGCUAACUACGUG